UCCACGCGCCCAGGGCCGCCCCCGCGGAGAGAGGGGGCGCGAGGGGCGCGCCUCUCGCUUGGACACCCUCUCCCAGCUCGCGCCCCAGGUAACUUAAACCCAAUUAUAAAUGGCUUUGGCUAUAAAGCAUUCUUGAAUGAAAACGUUUAGGAAGUAGGCCUGGAUCCAGAUGCUUCAGAGGCUCAAAGGUUUUCUAAUUGUUUAUUGAAGAGAAGAUUGAUCUUCACAAGCUAGUUUUUUCAUAGGCAAAAGCAAAAGUCUCUUCCUGUGUUAUUAAGUGAAAAUGGCUGAUUAUAAAAAGGGGCUUACAAACAAUAUUUAACAAAUCUUCAUCAAGUCCCUACUCUGUGGCAGGCCCUGGGUCAGGAGGUUGCCGAUUCCAGGAAGAAUCAGACCUUAUCCCUGCCCUUGAGUCUCAAGAAGAGAAAAGGAAAACAAAUAAGCAUAGUGCAGUGUGAAAAGUGGGACUGUGGUCCAAUUUCAGUCUGCAAACUCAGAAUGGAUGAAAUAUGAAAGACUGACAACAUCAAGUGUAGGACAGGAUGUGGAGCCACUGGAACUCAUACGUGACUGAUGGGAAUGCAAAAUGAUACCGAUCCCUUGGAAAACUCCUUGGCAACUUUAAUAAACAUAAAUCUACCCUAUGAUCCAGAAAUUCCACUCUGAGUCACGUCUCCAAGAGCAAUGAAAAUAUAUACCCACAAAAGACUGUACAUAAAUCAGAACAGCAUUGUUGAUAAUAGCCCAAACUGGAAACAACCUAAAUAUUCACCAAUAGAAGCCUGAAUAAAUUCACACUGUGGGAUACUCUACAGCAGUGAGGUAGAUGAACUAUUACUGCCUACAACAACAUGAAAGAAAGUAAAAAUCACUACUUUGAUAAUUAUAAACACAAAAAAGU